rnacentral:rRNA from 1 species
CCUACGGGUGGCAGCAGUGAGGAAUAUUGGUCAAUGGGCGCGAGCCUGAACCAGCCAAGUAGCGUGAAGGAUGACUGCCCUAGGGGUUGUAAACUUCUUUUAUAAAGGAGUAAAGUGGGGCACGUGUGGCUUUUUGUAUGGACUUCAUGAAGAAGGAACGGCUAACUCCGUGCCAGCAGCAGCGGUAAUACGGAGGAGCCGAGCGUUAUCCGGAUUUAGUGGGUUUAAAGGGAGCGUAGAUGGGUUGUUAAGUCAGUUGUGAAAGGUUGCGGCUCAACCGUAAAAUUGCAAUUGAAACUGGCAGUCUUGAGUACAGUUGAGGUAGGCGGAAUUCGUGGUGUAGCGGUGAAAUGCUUAGAUAUCACGAAGAACUCCGAUUGCGAAGGCAGCUUACUAAACUGCCACUGACAUUGAUGCUCGAAAGUGUGGGUAUCAAACAGGAUUAGAUACCCCAGUAGUC